UACGUAGGGUGCGAGCGUUAAUCGGAAUUACUGGGCGUAAAGCGUGCGCAGGCGGUUCGUUGUGUCGGUGGUGAAAGCCCCGGGCUCAACCUGGGAAUGGCCAUGGAAACUGGCGAACUGGAGUGUGGCAGAGGGGGGUGGAAUUCCACGUGUAGCAGUGAAAUGCGUAGAGAUGUGGAGGAACACCGAUGGCGAAGGCAGCCCCCUGGGCUGAGAUUGACGCUCAGGCACGAGAGCGUGGGGAGCAAACAGG
rnacentral:rRNA from 1 species